rnacentral:rRNA from 1 species
UGGGGAAUAUUGCGCAAUGGGCGAAAGCCUGACGCAGCGACGCCGCGUGGAGGAUGAAGGUUUUCGGAUCGUAAACUUCUGUUAAAUGGGAAGAAAGACUCGCGACGAAUAAUCGCGGGGGAUGACGGUACCAUUAGAGAAAGCCCCGGCUAACUUCGUGCCAGCAGCCGCGGUAAUACGAAGGGGGCAAGCAUUAUUCGGAUUCAUUGGGCGUAAAGGGUGUGUAGGUGGUUUGUUAAGUUGAUUGUUAAAUCUCAUGGCCUAACUGUGAGGCUGCGGUCAAAAACUGACAAACUAGAGAAUGAGAGAGAAGAGUAGAAUUCUCGGAGUAGCGGUUAAAUGCGUGGAUC